rnacentral:rRNA from 1 species
UACAGAGGUCUCAAGCGUUGUUCGGAUUCAUUGGGCGUAAAGGGUGCGUAGGUGGCGUGGUGAGUCGGGUGUGAAAUUUCGGAGCUUAACUCCGAAACUGCAUUCGAUACUGCUGUGCUUGAGGACUGGAGAGGAGACUGGAAUUUACGGUGUAGCAGUGAAAUGCGUAGAGAUCGUAAGGAAGACCAGUGGCGAAGGCGGGUCUCUGGACAGUUCCUGACACUGAGGCACGAAGGCCAGGGGAGCAAACGGG